CACGUAGGACGCAAGCGUUGUCCGGAAUUAUUGGGCGUAAAGAGCUCGUAGGCGGUCUGUUGCGUCCGCUGUGAAAACUCGGGGCUUAACCCCGAGCCUGCAGUGGAUACGGGCAGACUAGAGGUAGGUAGGGGAGAAUGGAAUUCCCGGUGUAGCGGUGAAAUGCGCAGAUAUCAGGAGGAACACCAAUGGCGAAGGCAGCUCGCUGGGACGGUACUGACGCUGAGGCGCGAAAGCGUGGGGAGCGAACAGG
rnacentral:rRNA from 1 species